rnacentral:lncRNA from 1 species
AAGUUGUGGGUUUUCUAUACUAGAUAAUGAAAAAUGAUGAACUAAAUAUACAGUAUUUCUACAUUCUUUGGCAUGCACAUGAAAUAAAGUCAUACUUUUUUUCAACAAAUACAACAGCAGCAAAAGCUGGAGUGCAAUGGCGCUAUCUCAGCUCACUGCAACCUCCGCCUCCCGGGUUCAAGCGAUUCUCCUGCCUCAGCCUCCCAAAUAGCUGGGAUCACAGAUAAUCCCUGUGAUGUCCUGAGGCAAUCUUCUGUGGGUCCAUUUUCUCCACCCAUGAGUACGUCUCCAUGGUCCUGAGAUUGGGAGCAGAGAUACAAAGUUCUCUGGGGUGUUUUUUUCUCUGUUGGUUUGUCUGUCUCUAACUUUCUUUUAGAACAAUUCUCAAAUCACAUUUCCUCCAAAAAUCUUUCUCUCAUUGCUCUGGGCUACAUAGAAAAAAAAAAAAAAGCCCAAUUCUAUUUUGAAGUUCUGAAGAGGAUUGAUUUGUAUCACUUCUUUAGCAUUCAGAACUGACUUAAAAUUCUUAGUUUUCCCUCCAUUUCAAGAUGCUUUCUACCUAGCUGUAUUGCAAACUGCUUAAGG